UACGUAGGGGGCGAGCGUUGUCCGGAAUUACUGGGCGUAAAGGGUGCGUAGGCGGCCACGCAAGUCAGAUGUGAAAGACCCCGGCUUAACCGGGGGCGUGCAUAUGAAACUGCGUGGCUUGAGUGCGGGAGAGGCAAGUGGAAUUCCUAGUGUAGCGGUGAAAUGCAUAGAUAUUAGGAGGAACACCAGUGGCGAAGGCGACUUGCUGGACCGCAACUGACGCUGAGGCACGAAAGCGUGGGGAGCAAACAGG
rnacentral:rRNA from 1 species